rnacentral:rRNA from 1 species
GCCGCGUGUGUGAAGAAGGCUUUCGGGUUGUAAAGCACUUUCAGCGAGGAAGAAGGCCUCUGGGUUAAUACCCCAGAGGAAGGACAUCACUCGCAGAAGAAGCACCGGCUAACUCCGUGCCAGCAGCCGCGGUAAUACGGAGGGUGCGAGCGUUAAUCGGAAUUACUGGGCGUAAAGCGCGCGUAGGUGGCUUGGCACGCCGGUUGUGAAAGCCCCGGGCUCAACCUGGGAACGGCAUCCGGAACGGCCAGGCUAGAGUGCAGGAGAGGAAGGUAGAAUUCCCGGUGUAGCGGUGAAAUGCGUAGAGAUCGGGAGGAAUACCAGUGGCGAAGGCGGCCUUCUGGCCUGACACUGACACUGAGGUGCGAAAGCGUGGGUAGCAAACAGGAUUAGAUACCCUGGUAGUCCACGCCGUAAACGAUGUCGACUAGCCGUUGGGACCUUUAAGGACUUAGUGGCGCAGUUAACGCGAUAAGUCGACCGCCUGGGGAGUACGGCCGCAAGGUUAAAACUCAAAUGAAUUGACGGGGGCCCGCACAAGCGGUGGAGCAUGUGGUUUAAUUCGAUGCAACGCGAAGAACCUUACCUACCCUUGACAUCCAGAGAACUUUCCAGAGAUGGAUUGGUGCCUUCGGGAACUCUGAGACAGGUGCUGCAUGGCUGUCGUCAGCUCGUGUUGUGAAAUGUUGGGUUAAGUCCCGUAACGAGCGCAACCCUUGUC